GUGAAUUGAAACAUUUUAUUGAUAUCUAGCAACACAAUGGCACAAUUGUGACAAUAUCAAAGUAGCUGAGCUGAGAGAAAUAUACCAAUACUUGUGCUUCACAUUGAAAGAUGCAUUUAAGGGAGUGGCCUGUCUUUAGUGGAAAUGUUAACAUGGAAUGUCAGCAAAGGACAAAAAUAUUAAGUCUCUAAAGUAUUGCCAAAAUGGCUUAAUGAAAUAGGUAUAAAAAUAUAUAAUUUGUGUAAUUAAAAUACAAAAACAAAUGGGGGGGGGGGGGGGGGG